GGAGGGGUUCCCGAGUGGCCAAAGGGAGCAGACUGUAAAUCUGCCGGCACUGCCUUCGAUGGUUCGAAUC
rnacentral:tRNA from 1 species